AUACUUACCUGGCAGGGGAGAUACCAUGAUCACGAAGGUGGUUUUCCCAGGGCGAGGCUUAUCCAUUGCACUCCGGAUGUGCUGACCCCUGCGAUUUCCCCAAAUGUGGGAAAUUCCACUGCAUAAUUUGUGGUUGUGGGGGACUGCGUUGGCGCUCUCCUCUG
ensembl:snRNA U1 U1 spliceosomal RNA